rnacentral:rRNA from 1 species
CAAACUUGAGAGUUUGAUCCUGGCUCAGAACGAACGCUGGCGGCAGGCUUAACACAUGCAAGUCGAACGAGAAAGUUCUCUUCGGAGAACGAGUAAAGUGGCGCACGGGUGAGUAACGCGUGAAUA